rnacentral:rRNA from 1 species
CUUGUUGGUGAGGUAAUGGCUUACCAAGGCGAUGAUCAGUAGCUGGUCUGAGAGGAUGAUCAGCCACACUGGGACUGAGACACGGCCCAGACUCCUACGGGAGGCAGCAGUGAGGAAUUUUCCGCAAUGGGCGAAAGCCUGACGGAGCAAUGCCGCGUGAAGGAUGAAGGCCUAUGGGUUGUAAACUUCUUUUCUCAGAGAAGAAUUUUGACGGUAUCUGAGGAAUAAGCAUCGGCUAACUCUGUGCCAGCAGCCGCGGUAAGACAGAGGAUGCAAGCGUUAUCCGGAAUGAUUGGGCGUAAAGCGUCUGUAGGUGGCUUAAAAAGUCUCCUGUCAAAGAUCAGGGCUUAACCCUGGGCCGGCAGGAGAAACUCUUAGGCUAGAGUUUGGUAGGGGCAGAGGGAAUUCCCGGUGGAGCGGUGA